rnacentral:lncRNA from 1 species
AGAAAUGCACACUCUUUUUUUUUCAUAGCACUUUUAAAUAAUUUAUGCACAUAAGUUUAUUCAGGUAGCACAAUUGUAUACCAUGAGAAUGUUUAUUUUACAGUUGGUUUUUAAUUCUUUUACCCCUGUUUUCUUUUACUGUCUUUUUUUCUAGACCUUUAAAACAAAAUUUUCCCGAAGUUAAAAGAGAGAAAUACAUUCUUCCUGCUGGAUAUCACAUUUAAAGGUUAUGUAACUCAUCUACCCAGAAUUGAAGCUGUGGGGAGGGGUCACACUUAGUAGUGGGUCCCAAGAUAGCCCUGAGGUCUAAAUAGGAAAAUAUCCUGUAUAAACUGUAGCAAAACUCUCAUCUCAAAAUAAAACACUCUGGGAUUUACAGUUACGUCCAUAUUCAACAGCUUUAGGACAUCCAGCAACUGACAGGAGUUUUAGAAAUGACAAAGAAAAUCUCUUCACAUUUAAAAAAACGGAACUCAAACCAGGAGAAGGAACCUGAACCCUGGUGAUGCAGAAGCCUGCUUCCAUUCCUCACCAUCUGGUCCCCACUGCCGAAGAUCCUCACACCCAGCAAACGCCGGGCACGACUCUCUUUUCAUUGUUUGCUUUCCAGAACUAUCAUUGGAACCAAGAAGGUUCCAAUCGUAGUAGACUUAGCUGUCACCAGAAUGGAGUUCUGGGUUCUAACUCCAUAGCAGGCUCUAGGUAGGAUUGGGAUGGCGGGAAGGGAGGAAGGGACAUUUAGUAUCCACUCAUCCUACUCAUAGUCGGACCAUUUUGAACCAGUUUCUAGAACUCUCUAACUAUUAUCUUAACUGACUGAUUACUAAAAGCUACUGCUCUAUAUGAGAUGGCCAGCUUCGUUUUUCUCCCGUCUUCAUUUUUCUCCCAGCUUCGUUUUUCUCCCUUCUAGAACAACAGGAAUCACA